GUAACCUGCCUGUAAGACUGGGAUAACUCCGGGAAACCGGGGCUAAUACCGGAUGGUUGUCUGAACCGCAUGGUUCAGACAUAAAAGGUGGCUUCGGCUACCACUUACAGAUGGACCCGCGGCGCAUUAGCUAGUUGGUGAGGUAACGGCUCACCAAGGCGACGAUGCGUAGCCGACCUGAGAGGGUGAUCGGCCACACUGGGACUGAGACACGGCCCAGACUCCUACGGGAGGCAGCAGUAGGGAAUCUUCCGCAAUGGACGAAAGUCUGACGGAGCAACGCCGCGUGAGUGAUGAAGGUUUUCGGAUCGUAAAGCUCUGUUGUUAGGGAAGAACAAGUGCCGUUCAAAUAGGGCGGCACCUUGACGGUACCUAACCAGAAAGCCACGGCUAACUACGUGCCAGCAGCCGCGGUAAUACGUAGGUGGCAAGCUCCGGGAUUAUUGGGGCGUAAAGGGCUCGCAGGCGGUUUCUUAAGUCUGAUGUGAAAGCCCCCGGCUCAACCGGGGAGGGUCAUUGGAAACUGGGGAACUUGAGUGCAGAAGAGGAGAGUGGAAUUCCACGUGUAGCGGUGAAAUGCGUAGAGAUGUGGAGGAACACCAGUGGCGAAGGCGACUCUCUGGUCUGUAACUGACGCUGAGGAGCGAAAGCGUGGGGAGCGAACAGGAUUAGAUACCCUGGUAGUCCACGCCGUAAACGAUGAGUGCUAAGUGUUAGGGGGUUUCCGCCCCUUAGUGCUGCAGCUAACGCAUUAAGCACUCCGCCUGGGGAGUACGGUCGCAAGACUGAAACUCAAAGGAAUUGACGGGGGCCCGCACAAGCGGUGGAGCAUGUGGUUUAAUUCGAAGCAACGCGAAGAACCUUACCAGGUCUUGACAUCCUCUGACAAUCCUAGAGAUAGGACGUCCCCUUCGGGGGCAGAGUGACAGGUGGUGCAUGGUUGUCGUCAGCUCGUGUCGUGAGAUGUUGGGUUAAGUCCCGCAACGAGCGCAACCCUUGAUGUUAGUUGCCAGCAUUCAGUUGGGCACUCUAAGGUGACUGCCGGUGACAAACCGGAGGAAGGUGGGGAUGACGUCAAAUCAUCAUGCCCCUUAUGACCUGGGCUACACACGUGCUACAAUGGACAGAACAAAGGGCAGCGAAACCGCGAGGUUAAGCCAAUCCCACAAAUCUGUUCUCAGUUCGGAUCGCAGUCUGCAACUCGACUGCGUGAAGCUGGAAUCGCUAGUAAUCGCGGAU
rnacentral:rRNA from 1 species